GAUGAACGCUGGCGGCGUGCUUAACACAUGCCAGUCGAACGGAAAGGCCCAAGCUUGCUUGGGUACUCGAGUGGCGAACGGGUGAGUAACACGUGGGUGAUCUGCCCUGCACUUCGGGAUAAGCCUGGGAAACUGGGUCUAAUACCGGAUAGGACCACAUUUUGGAUGGUGUGGUGGAAAGUUUUUCGGUGUGGGAUGAGCUCGCGGCCUAUCAGCUUGUUGGUGGGGUAAUGGCCUACCAAGGCGUCGACGGGUAGCCGGCCUGAGAGGGUGUACGGCCACAUUGGGACUGAGAUACGGCCCAGACUCCUACGGGAGGCAGCAGUGGGGAAUAUUGCACAAUGGGCGCAAGCCUGAUGCAGCGACGCCGCGUGGGGGAUGACGGCCUUCGGGUUGUAAACUCCUGUCGCUAGGGACGAAGCGUUUUUGUGACGGUACCUGGAGAAGAAGCACCGGCUAACUACGUG
rnacentral:rRNA from 1 species